GCGAGCGUGGUGGAAUUGGUAGACACGCAGGAUUUAGGUUCCUGUGCUUAACCGCGUGCGGGUUCGAGUCCCGCCGCUCGCA
rnacentral:tRNA from 1 species